rnacentral:tRNA from 1 species
UUCCUAGUGGCUCAAACAGUAAAGAAUCUGCCUGCAAUGCAGGAGACCGGGUUUGAUUCCUGGCUUGGGAA